GCCCCGGUCGUAUAGCCCGGCCAAGUAUCGCGUGUCGCGCUCGAUUGCCGGCCUUUCGAGCCGGAGAGGGGUGUCCCACGGAUAACCCGGGUUCAAAUCCCGGCCGGGGCACCA
rnacentral:tRNA from 1 species